GUAUAGUUAAGGAAAUUGAAUUCACCAGCACCAAGGUAAAUGGAAAUUAUCGGUGCAAAUAAGAUGAGUUGUUUCAGCCUUAUUAUAAACACUGAACUUUGAUCAUUGGUACAACAUUUUUUUUUGGGGGAGGGGGGUUGUAAGUGAGACUUGAAUAAGGAAAGUAUGGAUGCGAGUGAAGGUGAAAUAAAAAAAACUGUGAGGAUGGUUGACUCAUCAACUGCAUUAAUCAUGGGACUGAAAAGUUUUCUCGACCAUUUGCUAACAACGAUUACAGACAGUACUGUGAAUGUAGCUGGUACCCAACAAAUGGAGGACAAAGAAAGACAUCCAGAUGUCAUUGAUGUACUCACGAGGGUCUGGAUGGGGGUUCACAAAAUAGAGAAUAAUGGGCAAAAACUAUAAAGACUAGAGAAAAAUGACAGAAAAAAAUAAAGAAUACAAAAAUAAAUGACCCCAUCUAUACCCUCACUCAGCAAUGUCAGUCAAAUGAAGACAUGUGUCUAAGACACUUAAAACAUGCAAGUCAAUGUUUAAAGCAUUGUACACAUUGGUAUCCAAUAGAUAUUGUACAUUUGUACAUCAUUCUCUUUUGAUGAAAUAUUUUUUUUGUAAAAGUUUUAUAAUUUAUAACGACAGACAAAUUCGAAAGUCGUUUAUGACAUGUGACAAGGAAAUGGGG
rnacentral:lncRNA from 1 species